rnacentral:rRNA from 1 species
ACCCGCUGAACUUAAGCAUAUCAAUAAGCGGAGGAAAAGAAACCAACAGGGAUUGCCCUAGUAACGGCGAGUGAAGCGGCAACAGCUCAAAUUUGAAAUCUGGCGCAAGCCCGAGUUGUAAUUUGUAGAGGAUGCUUCUAGGUAGCGACCGGUCUAAGUUCCUUGGAACAGGACGUCAUAGAGGGUGAGAAUCCCGUAUGUGACUGGCCCGCACCUUCUACGUAGCUCCUUCGACGAGUCGAGUUGUUUGGGAAUGCAGCUCUAAAUGGGAGGUAAAUUUCUUCUAAAGCUAAAUACCGGCCAGAGACCGAUAGCGCACAAGUAGAGUGAUCGAAAGAUGAAAAGCACUUUGGAAAGAGAGUUAAAAAGCACGUGAAAUUGUUGAAAGGGAAGCGCUCACAACCAGACUUCUAGGCAGUGUUCCGCCGGUCUUUUGACCGGUCUACUCUCUGUCUCGAGGCCAACAUCAUCUGGGACCGCCGGAUAAGACCUUAGGAAUGUAGCUCCCCUCGGGGAGUGUUAUAGCCUCUGGUGAUGCGGCGCGUCUCGGGUGAGGUCCGCGCUUCGGCAAGGAUGUUGGCGUAAUGGUUGUCAGCGGCCCGUCUUGAAACACGGACCAAGGAGUCUAACAUCUAUGCGAGUGUUCGGGUGUCAGACCCCUACGCGUAAUGAAAGUGAACGGAGGUGGGAAGCGUAAGCUGCACCAUCGACCGAUCCUGAUGUCCUCGGAUGGAUUUGAGUAAGAGCAUAGCUGUUGGGACCCGAAAGAUGGUGAACUAUGCCUGAAUAGGGUGAAGCCAGAGGAAACUCUGGUGGAGGCUCGCAGCGGUUCUGACGUGCAAAUCGAUCGUCAAAUUUGGGUAUAGGGGCGAAAGACUAAUCGAACCAUCUAGUAGCUGGUUCCUGCCGAAGUUUCCCUCA